CCAAACAUAACAUAACAAUCAAACAUCCGCCAGCAAAUCUUGACCACAUUUUCUUAACUGACUCUUUACUCUCUAUCUCUUGCAACAUCAUCAUCAGAGUCACCGUGUGAUGGCUUCAGGUAAAAAAAAAAACGAGUCUACUGGAUCGGAUGGUACUGAGCUGAUACUCUCUUUGGAGGUAGCUUACGGAGAAUGAAGAGGACUAGUGCCGAUGGAAGUACUUCAACCACCUGCGCAGUUUAGUUUUUUUUUUUUUUUUUUCUCAGUUAGUGAAGCAACUCUUCAGCAGAGGAGUCCAUGGGAUGGUCCAUCAGUGACAAAUUGAUUUUCUUGUAAGAUUAUUAACUGCCAAUAAAUCCAACACACAUAUUCAGUUUCUUCCUCGUCCAAUAAAUGUUCCUACACAGAAAGCUUAUAUCACAGUUAGCUAUAGUUCAUGCUCAAAAUAAUUCCAGAAAGUUCUGUUUUUUUUUUUCUUGGGUGAUGAACUGAGACUGGAUGAUUCGAUAAGAAAGGGACUCAAGGCAAGCGUGACAUAAUGAUAUAGAAUCGAAGCAUGCGAACUUAUACGAAAGUUCCGUUCUUUUGACAGACUAAACUCCAGAACAAGGAAAACGAAGAAGGAGACGAGAGAGAGAGAGUGGACCUUGACGCGGAGGAAACCAAAGUUAGGUCUUUUGAUUUUGUCACUCUGUAAAUCACAUACAAUUUCUGAUCUUCUUUAUACGGAAGAAAAACAGAGAUAUGGGCUUAUUUGAUCGGCCCAAGGCCUGUUAUUUUGAUACCAAUGCUCUCAAUUCGGUUUAUUAUGGUCAGAACAGUGUACCAUUUGCUACCAAAAAACCAAAAAGAGUUGGCAAUUAAUUGGUUGUGUUAUUAUUUUCAACCAAACAUAACAUAACAAUCAAACAUCCGCCAGCAAAUCUUGACCACAUUUUCUUAACUGACUCUUUACUCUCUAUCUCUUGCAACAUCAUCAUCAGAGUCACCGUGUGAUGGCUUCAGGUAAAAAAAAAAACGAGUCUACUGGAUCGGAUGGUACUGAGCUGAUACUCUCUUUGGAGGUAGCUUACGGAGAAUGAAGAGGACUAGUGCCGAUGGAAGUACUUCAACCACC
rnacentral:lncRNA from 1 species